AUGUUGUCAAGGAUCAUUCACAUUAUCGACCCGGCUACUGGCCCAAGGGGAUGCAAUGCAGACCAGAAGGAUCGUCAUGAGCUCAUAGCGUCGCGGCUCCACGACGCCUUGUUUCUCCGCCUAAACGAUUAUUUUGCUGGUUGGCCCACACCUAAGGAAAACUGGACUACAAAAUACCCGCUACUAAUGCAAAAUCCAGUUACCAGGGAAGAAAGUGGGUUAUGCGUCAUGCAUAUCAUCAGGUACCACGACGGGGAAAAAGCCCGGAAUGCGCUUACCAAGAAUACCUUGGCAGUCACCAGACUGUGUGCCAUCCAGGAGAUGAUGAAGCUUCAAGGGAACCAAUCAUCACUCCCAGCUGAUGCACUAUGGCAGAAGGCGAUAUCAUCAUCCAGAAGAGCAACCUCAUCGUCACUCUCGCCAUAUGGGACAAGUGUUGGAAUGCUGCCAUCCAACUUAGGAGACAAACCACUUCCAGCCAAACCAUCUGGUGGGUUCCCAACGGGCCCGGAAGGACCCCCACUCCCAGCUAUAUUCUGGAAACUUCCACCAUCUGCAUCACCCGCACUGGAUAUGGAUGCAGCAUUGGUACCAAGUUUUGUUCCAGGGCCACAUAUCAAAGCUAACCACAGACGAAGUUCGUCCUCCAACGGAUCUAGCACUUGA
rnacentral:rRNA from 1 species